rnacentral:rRNA from 1 species
GUUUCCGUAGGUGAACCUGCGGAAGGAUCAUUAUCGAAUAAACUUGAACAGGCUGUUUUUUGCUGGCCCUUGAAAGAGGGCAUGUGCACGCUUGUCCAUCUUUGUCAUUUCUCCAAACUGUGCACAUACUGUAGACCCUGGGGGGAGCAUUAUGAAUGAAUUUCCAUUCGAGUUGGGGAUUGCUGCGCUUACAAAAGAAAAAGUCGGCUUUCCCUUGUAUUUUUUCAGGUCUAUGUUGUUUUUCACAACCUCUAUAACAUGUUUAGAAUGUUGAAUCAAGGUCUUUGUACCUAUAUAAAAAGUUAAUACAACUUUCAGCAACGGAUCUCUUGGCUCUCGCAUCGAUGAAGAACGCAGCGAAAUGCGAUAAGUAAUGUGAAUUGCAGAAUUCAGUGAAUCAUCGAAUCUUUGAACGCAUCUUGCGCUCCUUGGUAUUCCGAGGAGCAUGCCUGUUUGAGUGUCAUUUGACCUUCUCAACCACAUCGUUCUUGUUUUGAACGUGUGUGGCUUGGAUGUGGGGGAAUAAUUUUAUUUUGCAGGCUUCAAAUCAAGAAGCCGGCUCCCCUGAAAUGCAUUAGUGGUGUCUGAGCUGCUAUUGGUGUGAUAAAUUAUCUAUGCCUUUGGUGAUGCUGGUCAGCACUGCUUAUAACGGACGUGUGAUCAUUUGACAAAUUUGACCUCAAAUCAGGUAGGACUACCCGCUGAACUUAAGCAUAUCAAUAAGCGGAGGAAAAGAAACUAACAAGGAUUCCCCUAGUAACUGCGAGUGAAGCGGGAAGAGCUCAAAUUUGAAAUCUGGCAGCUCUUUGA